rnacentral:rRNA from 1 species
AGUGAACGCUGGCGGUAGGCCUAACACAUGCAAGUCGAACGGCAGCACAGUAAGAGCUUGCUCUUACGGGUGGCGAGUGGCGGACGGGUGAGGAAUACAUCGGAAUCUACUUUUUCGUGGGGGAUAACGUAGGGAAACUUACGCUAAUACCGCAUACGACCUACGGGUGAAAGCAGGGGAUCUUCGGACCUUGCGCGAUUGAAUGAGCCGAUGUCGGAUUAGCUAGUUGGCGGGGUAAAGGCCCACCAAGGCGACGAUCCGUAGCUGGUCUGAGAGGAUGAUCAGCCACACUGGAACGGAGACACGGUCCAGAGUCCUACGGGAGGGAGCAGAGGGGAAUAUGGGACAAUGGGCGGAAGCCUGAUCCAGCCAUACCGCGUGGGAGAAGAAAGCCUGCGGGGUGUAAAGCCCUUCUUUUGGGAAAGAAAAGCAGCAGGUUAAGACCACGCGGUUCUGACGGUACCCAAAGAAGAAGCACCGGCUAACUUCGUG